UGAUUCAGAGUAUUUAAUUGUCAGAAUUCUGGCCUUUCUGUCCGCUCACAUGUCCCCUCAGUAUCA